rnacentral:rRNA from 1 species
AAACUUUCAACAACGGAUCUCUUGGUUCUGGCAUCGAUGAAGAACGCAGCGAAAUGCGAUAAGUAAUGUGAAUUGCAGAAUUCAGUAAAUCAUAGAAUCUUUGAACGCACAUUGCGCCCCUUGGUAUUCCGGGGGGCAUGCCUGUUCGAGCGUCAUU